rnacentral:rRNA from 1 species
AGUGAACGCUGGCGGUAGGCCUAACACAUGCAAGUCGAACGGCAGCACAGUAAGAGCUUGCUCUUACGGGUGGCGAGUGGCGGACGGGUGAGGAAUACAUCGGAAUCUACUUUUUCGUGGGGGAUAACGUAGGGAAACUUACGCUAAUACCGCAUACGACCUACGGGUGAAAGCAGGGGAUCUUCGGACCUUGCGCGAUUGAAUGAGCCGAUGUCGGAUUAGCUAGUUGGCGGGGUAAAGGCCCACCAAGGCGACGAUCCGUAGCUGGUCUGAGAGGAUGAUCAGCCACACUGGAACUGAGACACGGUCCAGACUCCUACGGGAGGCAGCAGUGGGGAAUAUUGGACAAUGGGCGCAAGCCUGAUCAGCCAUACCGCGUGGGUGAAGAAGGCCUUCGGGUUGUAAAGCCCUUUUGUUGGGAAAGAAAAGCAGCAGGUUAAUACCCCGCUGUUCCGACGGUACCCAAAGAAUAAGCACCGGCUAACUUCGUG